GAUGAACGCUAGCUACAGGCUUAACACAUGCAAGUCGAGGGGUAACGAGAGGGAAGCUUGCUUUCCUUGUCGACGACCGGCGCACGGGUGAGUAACGCGUAUCCAACCUGCCCCCAACUAAGGAAUAACCUUGCGAAAGUAAGACUAAUACCCUAUAAUUUCCUCAGAUGACAUCUGACGAGGACUAAAGAUUUAUCGGUUGUGGAUGGGGAUGCGUCUGAUUAGCUUGUUGGCGGGGUAACGGCCCACCAAGGCAACGAUCAGUAGGGGUUCUGAGAAGGAGGUCGACCACAUUGGAACUGAGACACGGUCCAAACUCCUACGGGAGGCAGCAGUGAGGAAUAUUGGUCAAUGGGCGGAAGCCUGAACCAGCCAAGUGGCGUGCAGGAUGACGGCCCUAUGGGUUGUAAACUGCUUUUAUACAGGAAUAAAGUUAGCCACGUGUGGUUAUUUGUAGGUACUGUAAGAAUAAGGACCGGCUAAUUCCGUGCCAGCAGCCGCAGUAA
rnacentral:rRNA from 1 species